CCUACGGGAGACAGCAGUGAGGAAUAUUGGUCAAUGGGCGCGAGCCUGAACCAGCCAAGUAGCGUGAAGGAUGACUGCCCUACGGGUUGUAAACUGCUUUUAUAAAGGAAUAAAGUGAGGCACGUGUGCCUUUUUGUAUGGACUUUAUGAAUAAAGAUCGGGUAACUCCGUGCCAGCAGCCGCGGUAAGACGGAGGAUCCGAGGGUUAUCCGGAUUUAUUGGGUUUAAAGGGAGCGUAGAUGGGUUGUUAAGUCAGUUGUGAAAGUUUGCGGCUCAACCGUAAAAUUGCAAUUGAAACUGGCAGUCUUGAGUGCAGGUGAGGUAGGCGGAAUUCGUGGUGUAGCGGUGAAAUGCUUAGAUAUCACGAAGAACCCCGAUUGCGAAGGCAGCUUACUAAACUGCGACUGACACUGAUGCUCGAAAGUGUGGGUAUCAAACAGGAUUAGAUACCCGAGUAGUC
rnacentral:rRNA from 1 species